UCCGUAGGGUAACCUGCGGAUGGAUCAUUUCGAUGAAAACCUUUUUCUACUGAGGUGUGGCUCGCACCUGUCUAACUAAAAUUGAGCUACCCAAUCUUAACACGGUUGCAUCGGUUGAGUUGCCUUGAAUCAACAUCGCGAAAGCGGUGAUGGAGACGGGCCUCGACACUUUACACAAAACACUUUUGAUGACCUAGGAUUUGAAUGACAAUUUAUGACUGGUAAUUCGGUCUUUUAAAUUUAAAAACAACUUUUGGCAACGGAUCUCUUGGUUCUCCCAUCGAUGAAGAACGCAGCGAAUUGCGAUAAGUAAUGUGAAUUGCAGAAGUGAAUCAUCGAAUCUUUGAACGCACCUUGCGCUCCCGGCAGAUCUAAUCUGGGGAGCAUGCCUGUUUGAGGGCCGCGAAUUGUUUCGAUCGACAGCUUUUUCUUUACGGAAGAGUUGGCGAUCGGUAGUGAGGGUUUCUUUGCCAUUAACCGUGGCUCCCUCGAAAUGCAUUAGCGCAUCCAUUUGAUAGGCGAGAACGGACGAAAGCUCACUUUUCGCCCUUUCUUCCCUGCCGGGUUUUGAUAAUAUCAAGACUUCGGAGGUGAAGACAGGGUACGAGCUGGACGCGACGUUUUUGCUGUUUGGCGUGCUUCUGAAACCCGCCCAUGCCUUGCAAAAGGAAGGGAUUUUAAUAAUUCAUCGGCCUCAGAUUGGUAGGACUACCCGCUGAACUUAAGCAUAUCAAUAAGCGGAGGA
rnacentral:rRNA from 1 species